GCCCUCCAGAUCCCUUUCCCAUUAGAUCUGAAUACCGAUCUUGUGGUCGAAAAAGGAGGAAGAGCAAAAUGCCGGCUGGCCUGUGCCUCUCUGCUCGUGGGCCGUGCUCUGAGAAGGGCCAGGCUGCAGACAUGG
ensembl:snoRNA